GAUGAACGCUGGCGGCGUGCCUAACACAUGCAAGUCGAACGAAGCUUGACGGAUGAUUUCUUCGGAAUGAAACCAGAUAUGACUUAGUGGCGGACGGGUGAGUAACACGUGAGCAACCUGCCUUUCAGAGGGGGAUAACGGCUGGAAACGGUCGCUAAUACCGCAUGAUGUGUUCGGAUGGCAUCAUCUGAACAUCAAAGAUUUAUCGCUGAAAGAUGGGCUCGCGUCUGAUUAGAUAGUUGGUGGGGUAACGGCCUACCAAGUCUACGAUCAGUAGCCGGACUGAGAGGUUGAACGGCCACAUUGGGACUGAGAUACGGCCCAGACUCCUACGGGAGGCAGCAGUGGGGAAUAUUGCACAAUGGGGGAAACCCUGAUGCAGCAACGCCGCGUGAAGGAUGACGGUUUUCGGAGUGUAAACUUCUUUUCUUAGUGACGAAGACAGUGACGGUAGCUAAGGAAUAAGCAUCGGCUAACUACGUG
rnacentral:rRNA from 1 species